GACGAACGCUGGCGGCGUGCUUAACACAUGCAAGUCGAACGGAAAGGCCCUGCUUUUGUGGGGUGCUCGAGUGGCGAACGGGUGAGUAACACGUGAGUAACCUGCCCUUGACUUUGGGAUAACUUCAGGAAACUGGGGCUAAUACCGGAUAGGAGCUCCUGCUGCGUGGUGGGGGUUGGAAAGUUUCGGCGGUUGGGGAUGGACUCGCGGCUUAUCAGCUUGUUGGUGGGGUAGUGGCUUACCAAGGCUUUGACGGGUAGCCGGCCUGAGAGGGUGACCGGCCACAUUGGGACUGAGAUACGGCCCAGACUCCUACGGGAGGCAGCAGUGGGGAAUAUUGCACAAUGGGCGGAAGCCUGAUGCAGCAACGCCGCGUGCGGGAUGACGGCCUUCGGGUUGUAAACCGCUUUCGCCUGUGACGAAGCGUGAGUGACGGUAAUGGGUAAAGAAGCACCGGCUAACUACGUGCCAGCAGCCGCGGUGAUACGUAGGGUGCGAGCGUUGUCCGGAUUUAUUGGGCGUAAAGGGCUCGUAGGUGGUUGAUCGCGUCGGAAGUGUAAUCUUGGGGCUUAACCCUGAGCGUGCUUUCGAUACGGGUUGACUUGAGGAAGGUAGGGGAGAAUGGAAUUCCUGGUGGAGCGGUGGAAUGCGCAGAUAUCAGGAGGAACACCAGUGGCGAAGGCGGUUCUCUGGGCCUUUCCUGACGCUGAGGAGCGAAAGCGUGGGGAGCGAACAGGCUUAGAUACCCUGGUAGUCCACGCUGUAAACGGUGGGUACUAGGUGUGGGGUCCAUUCCACGGGUUCCGUGCCGUAGCUAACGCUUUAAGUACCCCGCCUGGGGAGUACGGCCGCAAGGCUAAAACUCAAAGGAAUUGACGGGGCCCCGCACAAGCGGCGGAGCAUGCGGAUUAAUUCGAUGCAACGCGUAGAACCUUACCUGGGUUUGACAUGGAUCGGGAGUGCUCAGAGAUGGGUGUGCCUCUUUUGGGGUCGGUUCACAGGUGGUGCAUGCCUGUCGUCAGCUCGUGUCGUGAGAUGUUGGGUUAAGUCCCGCAACGAGCGCAACCCUUGUUCACUGUUGCCAGCACGUUAUGGUGGGGACUCAGUGGAGACCGCCGGGGUCAACUCGGAGGAAGGUGGGGAUGACGUCAAGUCCUCAUGCCCCUUAUGUCCAGGGCUUCACGCAUGCUACAAUGGCUGGUACAGAGAGUGGCGAGCCUGUGAGGGUGAGCGAAUCUCGGAAAGCCGGUCUCAGUUCGGAUUGGGGUCUGCAACUCGACCUCAUGAAGUCGGAGUCGCUAGUAAUCGCAGAUCAGCAACGCUGCGGUGAAUACGUUCCCGGGGCU
rnacentral:rRNA from 1 species